rnacentral:rRNA from 1 species
UACGGGGGAUGCGAGCGUUAUCCGGAUUUAUUGGGUUUAAAGGGUGCGUAGGCUGCGCUUCAAGUCGGCGGUGAAACCCCCGCGCUCAACGCUGGGUCUGCCGUCGAAACUGUCGCGCUUGGAUAGGGGCGCCGCGGGAGGAAUGUGUGGUGUAGCGGUGAAAUGCAUAGAUAUCACACAGAACACCGAUUGCGAAGGCAUCUCGCGAGCCCCUGAUUGACGCUGAUGCACGAAAGCGUGGGUAUCGAACAGG